GCUGGGUGUGGUGGCACAUGCCUGUAAUUCUAUCUGCUCAGGAGCCUGAGACAGGAGGAUCAUGAGUUCAAAGCCAGCUUCAGUAAUGGCGGGGUGCUAAGCAACUUAGUGAGACCCUGUCUCUA
rnacentral:sRNA from 1 species